GAGAGAGAGAGAGAGAGAGAGAGGGAGGGAGGGAGAGAGAGGGAGAGAGAGAGCUCUCCACACCAAGCUGUGUUCAUCAAGGCUCAUUUCUCACCAUAUUCUCUCACCAGGUGCCACCAUAUGAAACUCCCUCUCAGUUUCUAUAUAAAACACUUCUUAUCCGCCUGGGUGCGAGUUGAUCACACUCACUCCACAGUGUGAAUGUCAGCUUCCUGCCACGCUGGGUAGCAGAAGGCAGUUCUGCCAAAACAAGAAGGAUAAAGCCUGGCAGUCAGAAGCACGGUGGCUCACAAGGAUCUUUCUCUGAAUGACAACCUUUCGUUCGUUUGCUUUACGCUUUAUUUCGGGACACAUAAUUGAAAUAAACUGCAAAAAAAACAAAAAAAAACUUGUGACCUCGACUGGCUCGUGGAGAAACUGCAAACGGUGGAGGUAUUUAUGAUAAAAUUACAAAAUCUGUAUUUACUUUACAUCAAAUGAAUGUUUCAAAUGUCAACUUGAAUAGCUUGUAUUUAUUAUGAUUAUGUCAUUGUCAGAUAUGCUUAAGAUCCCCUUCCAGCAACUGAAACUGAGCAAGGACUUUGAGUUAUGUAGGGCAGGAGAACAGGCCCUUGAAGAAGAAAUGUUUGUAAAGGAAUGAUAACUGCUUUUACACAAGAGGCUACAAGAACACAGAAAAAGGUUGCUGCGGUUUUGCUUUGUUAUGCAGCCUGAUAGCCAACCAUCCUUUGCUACAUAUUUAAUCACAUAUACUACAUAUAAGUAAUUCCUAAAAGCACAGAAAGUAUAGAGUACUCGUGUAGUUGCUCAAUGCCAUUUGAGAGUCUCUGUUCAACAGCUUUUGUCACGCCAAGUUUGUGAACAGCGCUGAUAGUCCCCCUGAAGAAGCGUGGUUUUUAAAAGUGCCUAAUAAAGUGCUGGAUCCUUCAAGAACUUUCAUUCCCUGAGGGCGCUAGCUUGCAGUCUGCUCCCUGUUAAGACUCUUCAUUUCAUCACAAUGUUCCCAGCAUCAGGGGAUAUACUGGCUCGGGGGGAAACAUUUCCUUCUACACACAGUUUGUCACCAUGUUGUGACGUACAGUGUGUCACGCCAUCACAGCGGUUUACGACUCACUACAGCGAAACCACGUGGAGUACAGUGGGAACCUAAUCUGGGAUUUACUGAAGCAAAUCACACAAGGAGCCCAAAGAACUACACUGCAGCCACAAACAAGACAGGACUUCAACUGCUGACGACCGGACCAGCAGAUGAGUGGCCAAAAGUACCGUCUGCUGCUCCUGUUACAUCACCACAUUGCACUGUUGUCAGCAAUAAUCUGUGGGAAGACGUGAGAACAUUUUCCUGAAGGACAACAAACACAGCAGAACUCCCCAAAUGAACAGUCCAAAUGCUCAAAACACAGAACCGUGGAAACCUCACAGGAUCAGCAAACAACUGGAUAUCUAACUGAACACACACGAAGGAUGAAAAGGGGAAAGUAACAUUUUUGCUUUCACACACAUCUACUCAGCAACAACGUUUCUGCCUCCUAACAUCAUGUAACAGACGCACUGGUGUUUUCCAGCGUCAGCUCUUCAGUCUGCCGUCAGUGUGGUCGACGCCCUUAAACCACAGACAGGCUUGAAGAACAGACCAGCUCAGCUGCUGCUCUCUGCCUUGUGUUGCUGUAUUGAACCACUAUCUGAUUCACUGACCUUCUCGCUGCCUCAUGCCUUGCUAAUGUGAUGUGCUUCUGCUGCUGUGGCGACCGUUGCUGCUGGCUCAGGACUCUGUGCCGGCUGCUUUCUAUCAAUCUCUUACACUUCCUGUGUUUUUUUUUUUGUUUGUUUUUUUUAACACUCACACAUGUAAGCUAAGACACAG